GACGUAGGGCGCGAGCGUUGUCCGGAUUCAUUGGGCGUAAAGAGCUCGUAGGCGGCUUGUCGCGUCGAAUGUGAAAACUCGGGGCUCAACCCCGCGCUUGCAUUCGAUACGGGCAGGCUCGAGUUCGGUAGGGGAGACUGGAAUUCCUGGUGUAGCGGUGAAAAUGCGCAGAUAUCAGGAGGAACACCGGUGGCGAAGGCGGGUCUCUGGGCCGAUACUGACGCUGAGGAGCGAAAGCGUGGGGAGCGAACAGG
rnacentral:rRNA from 1 species